AUUCACCCGUGUCUUUUGCGUACUUCUUGUUUCCUUGGUGGGCUCGCCCACCACAAGGACAAACCAUAAACCUUUUGUAAUUGCAAUCAGCGUCAGUAACAACAUAAUAAUUACAACUUUCAACAACGGAUCUCUUGGUUCUGGCAUCGAUGAAGAACGCAGCGAAAUGCGAUAAGUAGUGUGAAUUGCAGAAUUCAGUGAAUCAUCGAAUCUUUGAACGCACAUUGCGCCCUUUGGUAUUCCAAAGGGCAUGCCUGUUCGAGCGUCAUUUGUACCCUCAAGCUUUGCUUGGUGUUGGGCGUCUUGUCUCCAGUUUGCUGGAGACUCGCCUUAAAGUCAUUGGCAGCCGGCCUACUGGUUUCGGAGCGCAGCACAAGUCGCGCUCUCUUCCAGCCAAGGUCAGCAUCCACAAAGCCUUUUUUCAACUUUUGACCUCGGAUCAGGUAGGGAU
rnacentral:rRNA from 1 species